rnacentral:rRNA from 1 species
GACGUAGGGGGCGAGCGUUGUCCGGAUUUAUUGGGCGUAAAGCGUGCGUAGGCGGCUGCGCAAGUCGGGUGUGAAACCCCGGGGCUCAACCCCGGAACUGCAUCCGAUACUGCGUGGCUAGAGGUAGGUAGGGGAGAUCGGAAUUCCUGGUGUAGCGGUGAAAUGCGCAGAUAUCAGGAGGAACACCGAUGGCGAAGGCAGCUCGCUGGGACGGUACUGACGCUGAGGCGCGAAAGCGUGGGGAGCAAACAGG